AAUUUUCAACCCAGGGCUGAGUUCACCCCCGGGGUUUAAAUUUCAACCCUGCUUGAGCUAGCAGGGUUGAAAUUUCAACCCCGGGGUUGAACUCAGCCCUGGGUUGAAAA